GGGCGUCUCCUUCUCUCUGAGUAGAGGCGCACCUAGAGCGCACACGCUGAUACCCGAAAGAUGGUGAACUAUGCCUGGCCAGGACGAAGCCAGGGGAAACCCUGGUGGAGGUCCGCAGCGAUUCUGACGUGCAAAUCGAUCGUCGGAGCUGGGUAUAGGGGCGAAAGACCAAUCGAACCAUCUAGUAGCUGGUUCCCUCCGAAGUUUCCCUCAGGAUAGCUUGCGCUCACGUGAACGAGUCUCAUCCGGUAGAGCGAAUGAUUAGAGGCCUUGGGGUCGAAACGACCUCAACCUAUUCUCAAACUCCAAAUAGAUGAGAACUCCGGCUUUCUUGAACUUUGUUUUUGAAGCCGGGGGCUCGGAUCAGAGUGCCAAGUGGGCCAAUUUU
rnacentral:rRNA from 1 species